rnacentral:lncRNA from 1 species
AGGAGUAAAUUGAUCUACCUCGAGAAAGGACCCCAGAGAGUCUCAGACCCGCUGUUCAGGAUCGGCAUGAACGGUCCUGUGGAUGACCUCUGGCAGGAUGCACCCAUUGACCAAUCUCUUUAUUAUAUCCCUAUUGUUGAAGAGAUUUUCCCCCAGAUCUUCUUUGGAGCCAUCGGCCUCCUCGAUGGCAGCCCUGCUGCUGUGUCUCUUGUGGGCCAAUGUCUUCUUUCUCCUUCUCCAUUCGGCCCCUGGUGCCUCCUC